UACGGGGGGGGCAAGCGUUGUUCGGAAUUACUGGGCGUAAAGGGCUCGUAGGUGGCCAACUAAGUCAGACGUGAAAUCCCGGGGCUCAACCUCGGAACUGCCUUUGAUACUGCAAGUCUCGAGUCCGGAAGAGGUGAGUGGAAUUCCUAGUGUAGAGGUGAAAUUCGUAGAUAUUAGGAAGAACACCAGUGGCGAAGGCGGCUCACUGGUCCGGUACUGACGCUGAGGUGCGAAAGCGUGGGGAGCAAACAGG
rnacentral:rRNA from 1 species